UGCUUGGGAAACUGCCCAGUCGUGGGGGACAACCAUUGGAAACGAUGGCUAAUACCGCAUACGCCCUACGGGAAAGGAGGGGACUCUUCGGAGCCUUUCGCGAUUGGAUGUGCCCAAGUGGGAUUAGCUAGUUGGUGAGGUAAAGGCUCACCAAGGCGACGAUCCCUAGCUGGUUUGAGAGGAUGAUCAGCCACACUGGAACUGAGACACGGUCCAGACUCCUACGGGAGGCAGCAGUGGGGAAUAUUGCACAAUGGAGGAAACUCUGAUGCAGCCAUGCCGCGUGUAUGAAGAAGGCCU
rnacentral:rRNA from 1 species